rnacentral:rRNA from 1 species
UGUGUAGGCGGUUCUCUAAGUUUGGUGUGAAAUCUCCCGGCUUAACCGGGAGGGUGCGCCGAAAACUGGGGAACUAGAGUGCGGGAGGGGAGAGUGGAAUUCCUGGUGUAGCGGUGAAAUGCGUAGAUAUCAGGAGGAACACCGGUGGUGUAGACGGCUCUCUGGACCGUAACUGACGCUGAGACACGAAAGCGUGGGUAGCAAACAGGAUUAGAUACCCUGGUAGUCCACGCCCUAAACGAUGCAUAUUUGGUGUAGGUCAUUCAGUUGAUCUGUGCCGGAGCUAACGCGUUAAAUAUGCCGCCUGGGGAGUACAGUCGCAAGGCUGAA